rnacentral:sRNA from 1 species
UAAUUUUUUUUUUCUCACUCCCUUAUAGUAAUCACGUAUGCACUUUCAUUGUUCUUUAAUUUUUCAGUAAAAAAACAACGUGCAUAGUAAAUUUCGGUAAAAAAAAGAGUGCACAAUGAAUUUUUUAAAGCCGUAGUAAUUAUGUCAUUAUAAAUAAUGAAUCAAUAGAGAGAAAUUCUGGUGAUAAAUCAUAUUAAUCCCAAAGUAAAAAUUAGAGCUAAUUAGGAACUGAAAGCGGACCAAGGUCAAACUGGCAACAAAGUUGAGGUAUUAGUAAGAACCGUUUGCUUGACAAGGACUUUGUAUGGACAUCAACCCUCAUCAUUCCCGCGUUUCGUCGUUCAAAACCGAUUACCUCAUCAGCUGCAUAGCGAUGGCGACCCAGACUGCCUAUUCCAUUCACUGGCUGAAGCCUCAAAGAUCAAGGACCAGGGCUGCCUUCGACUAGCGACAAGUGGCCGGCCCUUUUUGUUUAAGUUGAAGCAGACAAAUAUAAUCAUGACAAAGGCCCACAUGGGUUCAAUUUUCUCUGUCACUGAAAUAAGACUGAAAAUAGAAAUAUUUUUAUCUUUUUUUUCACCGAAUUCUCUAUCUCUUGAUGUAAAUAUAUCGUUUUAUUCAAAAAAUAAUUUUAUU